rnacentral:pre_miRNA from 1 species
CAAAUACUCCCUCCGUUCGGAAAUACUUGUCAUCAAAAUGGAUAAAAGGAAAUGUAUCUAGACGUAUUUUAGUUUUAGAUACAUCUCUUUUUAUCCAUUUUGAUGACAAGUAUUUUCGGACGGAGGGAGUAGAAA